CCCCCCCCCCCCCCCCCCGGGGGGGGGGGCGUGACUGGCUGUGAUGUUGUUCCUCAGAGGCCCCAUGGGCGUCCGCGGUAUUCGGCCCAUGAGGCGCUCACGUUCGUGGCCGCGAGCAUCGGGAGGAAGUGCUGAGCCGGCCGGCGCGGGUGGUGGGCGAAGCUGCUCCGUGGCGAGCGGACGCUCCGGCGCGUGUUCAACGACGCAACACUCAGGGACACCAUGGCGUCACUGCUCGUGCCCUGCUAUGACCUCGCCACGGCCGCGCCCUCCGACGCUGCACUGGCCAGGCAUCACAGUGCCCAUAUCUCAGAGGAUGGAGAGAAUGCCAUGAAGAAGGUGCGCUACACAAUAACGAGCAGUUGGAUCUGGUGAAGAAGGAGAUUGGUGUGUCGUCAUUAUUCAGUCACCCCAACCUAUUGCCGCUUCUUGAUAAUGCCUCAAUAGCCGAGUGUUGACACAAAAUCACCUAAUUGAGGACACUGACCAUGAGGGGCUCGCGGCUCAGGUAUUGGGUUGGAGCAGACAAUAUCGUCUUGGAACAAAUGGCCUGUCUAGCAUUGUACUCAGCACCAAGAGCCUCGACAUGGAGAUUUUGUCCCUCGACCUUCAACGGGCUCUGAUUAUAAGUCUAGAGAAUUUGGAGAUUCUAUUUUGCUUGCAGAUUCAGUGUUUAUAAACGACGGGCGUCGUGUCGCUUGUUAAUGGACAAGUUCUAUACAUACAAGGAAUAUUCAUGAUGAUCUGAUUAUUUCCAGAUCGUAGCAUUAAGUAGUCUAAGUUGUUACUUGGCAUAAAAGUCAAUGAACAUGGUGACAAGCCAAUAUGCUGUUUUUUUAA